AGUGAACGCUGGCGGUAGGCCUAACACAUGCAAGUCGAACGGCAGCACAGUAAGAGCUUGCUCUUACGGGUGGCGAGUGGCGGACGGGUGAGGAAUACAUCGGAAUCUACUUUUUCGUGGGGGAUAACGUAGGGAAACUUACGCUAAUACCGCAUACGACCUACGGGUGAAAGCAGGGGAUCUUCGGACCUUGCGCGAUUGAAUGAGCCGAUGUCGGAUUAGCUAGUUGGCGGGGUAAGGGCCCACCAAGGCAACGAUCUGUAGCUGGUCUGAGAGGAUGAUCAGCCACACUGGAACUGAGACACGGUCCAGACUCCUACGGGAGGCAGCAGUGGGGAAUAUUGGACAAUGGGCGCAAGCCUGAUGCAGCCAUACCGCGUGGGUGAAGAAGGCCUUCGGGUUGUAAAGCCCUUUUGUUGGGAAAGAAAAGCAGCAGGUUAAUACCCCGCUGUUCUGACGGUACCCAAAGAAUAAGCACCGGCUAACUUCGUG
rnacentral:rRNA from 1 species